UACGAGGGGGGGCAAGCGUUGUUCGGAUUUAUUGGGCGUAAAGGGUGCGUAGGCGGUUUGGCAAGUCUUGUGUGAAAUCUUUGGGCUCAACCCAAAGUCUGCAUAAGAAACUGCCGGGCUUGAGUAUGGGAGAGGUGAGUGGAAUUUCCGGUGUAGCGGUGAAAAUGCGUAGAUAUCGGGAAGGAACACCUGUGGCGAAAAGCGGCUCACUGGACCAUUACUGACGCUGAGGCACGAAAGCUAGGGGAGCAAACAGG
rnacentral:rRNA from 1 species